rnacentral:rRNA from 1 species
UGGGGAAUAUUGCACAAUGGGCGCAAGCCUGAUGCAGCAACGCCGCGUGAGGGACGACGGCCUUCGGGUUGUAAACCUCUUUUGGCAGGGAAGAAGCGAAAGUGACGGUACCUGCAGAACAAGCACCGGCUAACUACGUGCCAGCAGCCGCGGUGAUACGUAGGGUGCAAGCGUUGUCCGGAAUUAUUGGGCGUAAAGAGCUCGUAGGCGGUUUGUCGCGUCUGCUGUGAAAACCCGAGGCUCAACCUCGGGCCUGCAGUGGGUACGGGCAAACUAGAGUGCGGUAGGGGAGAGUGGAAUUCCUGGUGGAGCGGUGGAAUGCGCAGAUAUCAGGAGGAACACCGAUGGCGAAGGCAGAUCUCUGGGCCGUAACUGACGCUGAGGAGCGAAAGCAUGGGGAGCGAACA